rnacentral:rRNA from 1 species
GACGAACCGUGCGAGCGUUAUUCGGAAUCACUGGGCUUAAAGGGCGCGUAGGCGGCUUACCAAGUCAGGGGUGAAAUCCGGCAGCUUAACUGUCGAAGUGCCUUUGAUACUGGUGAGCUCGAGGGAGGUAGGGGUCCGUGGAACUUCCGGUGGAGCGGUGAAAUGCGUUGAUAUCGGAAGGAACGCCGGUGGCGAAAGCGACGGACUGGAUCUCUUCUGACGCUGAGGCGCGAAAGCUAGGGGAGCAAACGGG